rnacentral:rRNA from 1 species
UACGUAGGGUGCGAGCGUUUAAUCGGAAUUACUGGGCGUAAAGCGUGCGCAGGCGGUUCGUUGUGUCUGAUGUGAAAGCCCCGGGCUCAACCUGGGAAUGGCAUUGGAAACUGGCGAGCUGGAGUGUGGCAGAGGGGGGUGGAAUUCCUGGUGUAGCGGUGAAAUGCGCAGAUAUCGGGAGGAACACCGGUGGCGAAGGCGGUCUCUGGGCCUG